rnacentral:tRNA from 1 species
GUUGUGGCUCAGUGGUAGAACGAUUGCCUAGCACAUAUGAGGCACUGGGUUUGAUCCUCAGCACAACA